rnacentral:rRNA from 1 species
UACGGGGGGGGCAAGCGUUGUUCGGAAUUACUGGGCGUAAAGGGCUCGUAGGCGGCCAACUAAGUCAGACGUGAAAUCCCUCGGCUUAACCGGGGAACUGCAUCUGAUACUGGAUGGCUUGAGUUCGGGAGAGGGAUGCGGAAUUCCUGGUGUAGCGGUGAAAUGCGCAGAUAUCAGGAGGAACACCGGUGGCGAAGGCGGGACUCUGGGCCGAUACUGACGCUGAGGAGCGAAAGCGUGGGGAGCGAACAGG